rnacentral:sRNA from 1 species
GCAGCAUAGAACUGAUUGUGGUCCUCCGAUGCAUUUCUGGUGUCGAGAACUUCCUUUCUCAACCUCCCCUUCCCCCAUAGCCAUCCCCACAAGCUGUCCCAUCAAGGAAUAUUUCAGGUGUAAACUGAAUAUGCCACGAGGCCUCCUCUUCAUGAAGUGCUUGGUUGGCCUACGUAUGGGUGGCAGGCUGGACAGAGCUGAAUCGUCUUUCUGGGUCACCCUGUAACUCAAGUCCCCUUUCCCAUUCUCUCCCAACGCUACUUAUCCGCAGGAAUUGGAUGCCGGCUGGCCCCCCUGACAGUUCCUGGCCUAGGGGCUGUCAUGGCAGAGGGAAGCCACCAAGGGCCCUGUGCUAAUCACGAGUCUUUCCUGUUCAGAGCAGUGAGGCCUGAGACCCUCAACAGUGCUGUGUGUACAGAAGGCCCCCAGAAUCCACACAAAGGGGCCGCCUGAAACCUAGAGCAUUUGUGAAGGAGGAAAAUGGAAGGAACAACUGGAUGUUGUAAAUGUUUCUCAUCUGGCCUUAAAAUCCAUGAAAGCUGGAAAAUCACAAGGCAUCUGUGCACAUACUGGUGGAUUUUAAUGAGAGUCCUGUGUUUGGAGCACCAGAAAUAAACCAGCUUCAGAAGCAAAGAUCUGAACGUCUAUGACACUCUUUCGAGCUGACACAGUGAAGAACAUGGAAGGAGAACUCACCCAGUCUGCCAGGGUCACAGAUGAUCAUACUCAAGAUCUUCCUGGGGAGUCAAUGGCAAAUUUCACUGGGCUAUUUUACAGAUGAAGAAGGAACAUAAAGAAGGUUCUGGGACCCU